rnacentral:rRNA from 1 species
GUGGGGAAUUUUGGACAAUGGGCGAAAGCCUGAUCCAGCAAUGCCGCGUGCAGGAAGAAGGCCUUCGGGUUGUAAACUGCUUUUGUACGGAACGAAAAGGCUCUGGUUAAUACCUGGGGCUCAUGACGGUAGCCAAGAAGGAAGCCCCGGCUAACUACGUGCCAGCAGCCGCGGUAAUACGUAGGGGGCAAGCGUUGUCCGGAAUGAUUGGGCGUAAAGGGCGCGUAGGCGGCCUGGUAAGUCUGGAGUGAAAGUCCUGCUUUUAAGGUGGGAAUUGCUUUGGAUACUGUCGGGCUUGAGUGCAGGAGAGGUAAGCGGAAUUCCCGGUGUAGCGGUAAAAUGCGUAGAGAUCGGGAGGAACACCAGUGGCGAAGGCGGCUUACUGGACUGUAACUGACGCUGAGGCGCGAAAGUGUGGGGAGCAAACAGGAUUAGAAACCCCUGUAGUCC